rnacentral:rRNA from 1 species
CCUACGGGUGGCAGCAGUGGGGAAUAUUGCACAAUGGGGGAAACCCUGAUGCAGCGACGCCGCGUGAGUGAAGAAGGAUUUCGGUAUGUAAAGCUCUAUCAGCAGGGAAGAAGAAAGACGGUACCUGACGAAGAAGCACCGGCUAACUACGUGCCAGCAGCAGCGGUAAUACGUAGGGGGCAAGCGUUAUCCGGAUGUACUGGGUGGAAAGGGAGCGUAGACGGGUGUGCAAGUCUGAAGUGAAAGCCAAGGGCUCAACCCUGGGACUGCUUUGGAAACUGUGGAGCUAGAGUGCUGGAGAGGUAAGUGGAAUUCCUAGUGUAGCGGUGAAAUGCGUAGAUAUUAGGAGGAACACCAGUGGCGAAGGCGGCUUACUGGACAGUAACUGACGUUGAGGCUCGAAAGCGUGGGGAGCAAACAGGAUUAGAUACCCCUGUAGUC